rnacentral:rRNA from 1 species
UACAUGGGGUGCAAACGUUGCUCGGAAUUAUUGGGCGUAAAGCGCACGUAGGUGGUCACUUAAGUCGGAUGUGAAAGCCCUCGGCUCAACUGAGGAAGUGCAUCCGAAACUGAGUGGCUGGAGUACGGAAGAGGGUCGCGGAAUUCCCGGUGUAGAGGUGAAAUUCGUAGAUAUCGGGAGGAACACCGGUGGCGAAGGCGGCGACCUGGGCCGAUACUGACACUGAGGUGCGAAAGCGUGGGGAG